rnacentral:rRNA from 1 species
UACGUAGGGUGCAAGCGUUGUCCGGAAUUAUUGGGCGUAAAGAGCUCGUAGGCGGUCUGUCGCGUCGGCUGUGAAAACCCGGAGCUCAACUCCGGGCCUGCAGUCGAUACGGGCAAACUGGAGUGUUGCAGGGGAGACUGGAAUUCCUGGUGUAGCGGUGAAAUGCGCAGAUAUCAGGAGGAACACCGAUGGCGAAGGCAGGUCUCUGGGCUGACACUGACGCUCAUGCACGAAAGCGUGGGGAGCAAACAGG